rnacentral:misc_RNA from 1 species
GAUGAAGAACGCAGCGAAAUGCGAUACGUAAUGUGAAUUGCAGAAUUCAGUGAAUCAUCGAGUCUUUGAACGCACAUUGCGCCCCCUGGUAUUCCGGGGGGCAUGCCUGUCCGAGCGUCAUUGCUGCCCUCAAGCACGGCUUGUGUGUUGGGCCUCCGCCCCCCGGCUCCCGGGGGGCGGGCCCGAAAGGCAGCGGCGGCACCGCGUCCGGUCCUCGAGCGUAUGGGGCUUCGUCACCCGCUCCGUAGGCCCGGCCGGCGCCCGCGGGCGACCCCCUCAAUCUUUCCAGGUUGACCUCGGAUCAGGUAGGGAUACCCGCUGAACUUAAGCAUAUCAAUAAGCGGAGGA